rnacentral:rRNA from 1 species
GCGGCGUGCCUAAUACAUGCAAGUCGAGCGAACAGAUAAGGAGCUUGCUCCUUUGACGUUAGCGGCGGACGGGUGAGUAACACGUGGAUAACCUACCUAUAAGACUGGGAUAACUUCGGGAAACCGGAGCUAAUACCGGAUAACAUAUUGAACCGCAUGGUUCAAUAGUGAAAGGCGGCUUUGCUGUCACUUAUAGAUGGAUCCGCGCCGUAUUAGCUAGUUGGUAAGGUAACGGCUUACCAAGGCAACGAUACGUAGCCGACCUGAGAGGGUGAUCGGCCACACUGGAACUGAGACACGGUCCAGACUCCUACGGGAGGCAGCAGUAGGGAAUCUUCCGCAAUGGGCGAAAGCCUGACGGAGCAACGCCGCGUGAGUGAUGAAGGUCUUCGGAUCGUAAAACUCUGUUAUCAGGGAAGAACAAAUGUGUAAGUAACUGUGCACAUCUUGACGGUACCUGAUCAGAAAGCCACGGCUAACUACGUGCCAGCAGCCGCGGUAAUACGUAGGUGGCAAGCGUUAUCCGGAAUUAUUGGGCGUAAAGCGCGCGUAGGCGGUUUUUUAAGUCUGAUGUGAAAGCCCACGGCUCAACCGUGGAGGGUCAUUGGAAACUGGAAAACUUGAGUGCAGAAGAGGAAAGUGGAAUUCCAUGUGUAGCGGUGAAAUGCCCAAAGAUAUGGAGGAACACCAGUGGCGAAGGCGACUUUCUGGUCUGUAACUGACGCUGAUGUGCGAAAGCGUGGGGAUCAAACAGGAUUAGAUACCCUGGUAGUCCACGCCGUAAACGAUGAGUGCUAAGUGUUAGGG